UUUUUCUUUUUUUGUUUUUUUUUUUUUUUUAUUUUGUUAUUGAUUUGUGUUGAUGUUCUUAGUUGUGAUAUUGUUAACCUGAGCGGUUGUUUAUUACGUUGUUGUUUUAUUGGCGUUAUUAUCUUGAUUUUCUUUUGUGUUGUUGUUGUUUUUUUCUUGUUGUGUUGUUGAUGUUGAUAUUGAUAUUAUGAUUUUUUGAUUUUUCUAACUCUAGUCUGUUCUAUCGAGUUGGCUUAUUAUUAUCUAAUGUCGAUUGUUUAUUUCACUAACCCUUUUUGAUAUAACUUAUAAAUUGAUUUGAUAAUAUUAUAAUGUCAAUUAUUUUGUAUCGGAAAACUUAUCUCUAUACUGCAUUAAUGACUUUCUAGCUUCUACAACUCAUCUUCAUCUCCCUAUUAUUUUAAUAGUUAAAAUUUUAAAUACUUAUAGUUUUCUUUUCAACUUCUUCAUUUGUCCAUUUUCAAAACAACAAAUGUAUUUCAAUUUGUUAUUUAAUUAUCUUGUGUUUAAAGAUUUGUAUUGUGUUAACUAACUAUAGAUAUGGACCUAUGUUUGUGUCAAUAGCCUAAUCAAUGAACUUGAACCGUAUUAACUGGUAUACUUGUAAUUUAUUUAGGAAUAAACCAAUUUAAAAUUGUGAUUUAGGUUUAACGUUACCAUAUUUGUCUAUUUGACUCNNNNNNNNNNNNNNNNNNNNNNNNNCAUAAGUUUCUUAAUUCUUCUGAUUUUCUGGACAAUCACUAGAAUAGUGACCAUACCUUUGACAAUUGUAACACUGAAUGUGACUCUUGUCUGGAUUUUGACCACCACCUCUUCCUUUACCUACAACACCACCUCUUUGGUUGUCUUGGUUCCAGGGUUUUCUCUUAUUUGACCAGUUUCUUUCUUGCUGAUUUCGACCAGUCGAAUUGUUGUAACCUCAUCUGCCUUUAUUUCCAUUCCAGCUACCUUUGUCUUUUCUUUCUUUUGUUGAUUGAGCCUGCAAAGCCGUAUCACUCUUCGACUUUCCUGCAGCUCUUUCAUCCAUUCUUUGUUCAUGAGAUUCAAGCGUCCCUUGAAGCUCUUCCUUUGUCAGUUUUGACAAAUCUUUUGACUUUUUUAUGGUUAUUACCACGUGGUCGAACUUUGGAGCCAAUGACCUCAAGAUCUUUCCAACAACAGAUCUUGAUGUAAACACUUCUCCGCAUACCUUCAUUUGAUUCACCAAUUUCAUAACCUUGGUGAAAAAAUCAGUUAUGCUUUCAUUGUCUUCCAUCUGAAGCAAUUCAUACGUUAUUUUGUGAGUUUGUAACCUCAUAUCUUUCACCUUCUUUCAUUGUCUUCCAUCUGAAGCAAUUCAUACGUUAUUUUGUGAGUUUGUAACCUCAUAUCUUUCACCUUCUUUGCGCCUCCAAACGAUUUCUCCAGAAUUUCCCAUGCUUCUUUUGCUGACUCUGCAUGACUAACCUUUUCAAAGUUAUAUGUAUCAACAUAUUGAUGGAUUAUAAAGAGAGCUUUAUAAUCUUUCUUCUUCAAUUCUUUAUGUGUAGCCUUUUCUUGAUCUGUCGCAGCUUCUGCAAGCGUUACUACUCCUUCCUUCACAAGAUCCCAAAGAUCUUGAUAACAGAACACAACCUUUAUCUGCUUGCACCAAUUCUCAUAAUUGGUGUUCUUGAGAAUUAGAAGAUUUGCUGGAAAAUACCCAUUUGGAUGAUUCGUUGCCAUGGUGAUUUUCUCCCCACGAAUCGAUUAAAUCGGAGCUCUUGAUACCAGAUGUUGGAAAUCCCCAAAAACCUAUGGAGAAUUUCAAUCAAUCUUGAUGAACAAGAUUGUAACUACCCACACAAUAACAACGAAAAAAGAAGAACAAUAGAGAGAAAAAGAAAGUAAAGAAAAUGAUAUAGUAAUUAAAUUUUGUCUUUUAACAGAAUUAUAUACAUAUGAAAUGUAUUGUUGUUAUUUGGUGUUAUAUUCGUUUUGGCUAUUACUUGGUGUUGUAUUCGUUUUGACAUUUUGUUAUUGCUAUGUCCUAAUUAUUUUGAUGGACAUUGUUACGUACAUUAUAGUCUUUUUUUCAUAUUGACCAUACUACUCAAUACUAAAUCAAAGUUAGUCCACCUCUAGUAUGUGAGGGUUUUAGCAUGGAAUAUACCUUCUUCAUACAAAAUUUCAGGAUUUCAUAUUUCCUACAUUUGAGUAUUUAUCGGUCUUUACAAUCUCGAGUAUAAGCAGAAUUAUCUUGAGUAUUUAUGUGCACAAAUUCUAAAAUAAUUUGAGAGUGCUUAAAAUACUAUAAAAAAGUGAUUUGUUCAUGAUUCUAGUAUCAGUCCAUUUGUUUUACAAUUGAUUUUUCUAAUAAUCUUAUAGUGGGUAAAAUAAUUGUAACGAGACUUCAGUUUCAAGUAUUAAAAAAUAAACUAUUGUGUCAUAGACACAUUCUAAAUACAAGAAUCAUCAUUCAAAAUCCAGGUAGGUAUUAUUUUUCAUAAAAUUAGAACAUUGUAAAAAUUAUAAUAUCAAUAUUCUGAAUAAAAUUUCUCUAACAAAUGAUAUUAGAGCAUGAAUACCUAUAUUAUGAUUUUUUGAUAAUAAAUAUAUACUUUAUUAUAUGAAAUUGAUCUUAAAAAUUUAGGAAAUGAUAGAGUAAUUAAAUUUUGUCCUUCUGUAACGGGAAUUAUAUAUAUAUGAUUAGUAUAUACUAUAUAAAUAUAUAUAUAUAAUAUUAGUAUUAUAUAUAUUAAUAUAUAUUAUAUAAUAUAUAUAUAUAUAUAUUACUAUAUAGCUGAUAUAAUAAGUCAUUACCUCUAUAUAUUAGGAUAUAUUAGGAUAGCAUAUAUAUAAUACCAUUAUAUCAUGUGGAUAGCUUAUCUCAACACGGUGCAACAUGAUUAGAGAUGUCGCUUGAGGGUACAUCUGCACGAGAGUGUGCGCAAUGUGCAUUGAAAUAGGUUAAAGUAUGAAAAUUAGCAGAGCUCGAUACCACAUGCGCGCAGGAUCAGAGGUCACGCAAGGGAAGUAUUUAAGUGAACUCUCUCCAGAGUUCACUUGUUCCGUCCUCUUAUUUCUCUCUGCACCUCUUCUCUCUCUCUCUCUCUCUCUCUUCCCUCCUCGCUCUCCGUCUCUCUCCUCGUCUCUUCGCUCUCUCUCUCUCCCUAGCUAGCCCAUCCUGAGCCACCAGUGGUUUUUCCUAAACCACCUUCCCAAACCACCUCAUUCAUACAGUUCCAUCCAAUGAUGAACACCAAAACCCGAAUCUCAUAUAACACAGAGAAACCUAUACUCUAAGUACGGCAUAACCUUAAUAACCCAGACCCCUAAGAUGAACCUAACCCAAUUUCAACUAUCCAAACCCAGAUUCCUUAUGAACUCUAACAACAUUGAUACGAACGCCUAACCCCUUUAGGAACCCUGACCUAACCUUGAACCAACCUAAAAAUAAUUAAGGUAAGUUCCUUCCAAAUACACCCAGAACAAGCAUCAAACCCUAGAUCCAAACAACAUGAACAUCGAUCAAAACAUCGAACAGAAAAUUCAACUAGAAAAUUCCCAAUCCUAGAAUCUAACCACUCUUAUGCCUAAACCUAAACAUCAAACCUUAAACAACAAACACAACACGAAUCAACACUCUUCACAAGAAUAAAAAAUAACACAUCAUGUAUGGUGAAAAGGAAGUACUAACCUACGAAGAUGAGACCUUCACCUGUUUAGAAAGGUAAAGUCUUUCUUCUUCUCCUUCUUCUUUAAUUUCUUUCCUACACCUUUUUCUUCACUACUACAAAUAAUACUUCAUGACGACGAUUUCACCUCACUGUAUUAAAAACCAGAUAUAAUUCCAGGAUGCGCCCUGUUUUUUUAUAUAAAAUAUAUAAUAUAUACGUCGGUUAUUUUGAAACACCGAGGUAAAACAUAUUCAGUUAUCAUGAUUAAAAUCCCAAUCAUCCUCCUGUUUAUAGUUAUCUCAAUUAAGUGGCGACUUAUUGAAUAUUUUAUUGUUAAUGCUAAAAGUACGCUACUUUUCAUCUCGGUUUUUCUUUCCGACUGAAGUGAAUAUAAUAUAUAUAUAGAUUAUAUAGUAUAUAUAUAUAUAGUAUAAUAUAUUAUAUUAUAUAUAUAUAUAUUAUAUAUAUAUAUAUUAUAUAUAAUAUAUAUAAUAUAAUAUAUUAUACUAGUAUAUAUAUGUAUAUAUAUAUACUUAAUAUUAUUUCCCUUGUAUCCAAUUUCUUUGUCUAAACAACAUAAACAAAACCUUAACGAGAUCCUAAACAAUGAGAGCCAUAAACACAUACCAUCUUGAUAUGAGAUGUUAUGUGUUUAGUACUCUGUUUCUUCUUCAGAGAUCCAAAUCAUUUCCUUUUAUUUUCUUCAGAGUCUGGUACGUCAAAUAUCACUACUAAUAUUGUUGUUGUUGUUGUUAUUGUUGUUGUUUUGGUUGUUGUUGUUGUUGUCGUUGUUGUUGUUUAUGUUGUUGUUGUUGUGUGUUGUUUGAUGUUGUUGAGAUCUGAAACUUUAGAAUUUUCUUGUUAUUUGUUUUUGUAUUGAUUUGUUUGUUUGAUGUUCUUAUUGUUGAAUAUUGUAAACCCUAGAGGUUGUUUUUGACGUUGUUUGUUAUUGGCGUUAUUACUGUUGAUAUUCUUGUUGUUGUUGUUGUUGUUUUUUUUCUUGUUUUGUUGUUGUUGAUGUUGAUAUUGAUAUUAUGUUUUUUAGAUUCUUUCUACAACUCUCAUCUUGUUCUAUCGAGUUGAGCUUAUUAUAUCUAAUGUCGAUUGUUUAUUUCACUAACCCCUUUUUGAACAUAUAACCUAAUAAAUUGAUUUUGUAAUAAUCAUAUGCAAAAUUAUAUGUAUCGGAAACUUAUCUUAUACUGAUUAAUGACUUUCUAGCAUUCUACAAACUCAUCAUUCAUCUCUCUAUUAUUUUAUAGUUAAAAUCUUUACAUAUAGCUUAAUCAGUUUGUCUUCAAGCUGUUCUUUCAUAUUUGUCCAUUUUUCAAAACAACAAAUUGAUAUUUCAAUAUUGUUAUUUAAUUAAUCUUGUGUUUAAAGAUUUGUAUGUGUUAACUAACUCAUAGAAUGAACCUAUGUUUGUAGGGAUCAAUGACCCUAAAUCAAUGAACUUGAACCGUAUUAACUGUUCAACUUAGUAAUUUAUUUAGGAAUAAACAAUUUAAAAUUGUGAUUUAAGGUUUAACGUACCAUAUUUGUCUAUUUUAACUUCAAACUUAUCUAAGAGAUUAUGGAGCUGUCGUGUAAAAUAGUGAGUUAUAUACUAAGAAAAUGAGUUUUAUUAAUAUAAUUAAUGUACAAUUUUUAAUUAAAAAUUAAAAUAAAAUAUUGACGUCUAAAUUUAGAGAUAUGACCACGGUCUUUCAAAAAACCGUGAUAACAUUGAAUUUGUUGUAUAUAUUUUUUUGUAGCAGUGACUUCUUUACUACGAACCACCAACUAUGAUAAAACUUUUUUCACAACCAGUGUGAUAUAUUUUUUUUACCACACUAAAAUCAAAAUGAAUAUUUUUUACCACACUCUAAAUCUCCGUAGCAAGAUUACAAUUUGACCACUGUUUUGUAAAUUGUUGCUAAUCUGAUUUGCUACAAUUUUAGUAAAUAUAAGUAAUAUAUGGUAUUAAUUGUAUUUUCCACGAUGUUUAUGCCAAUAUCUUAAAACAAUAUUAUAAUAUGAGAUGGAUAAUAUUAUGAACAGAUGAAAGAUUACCACAAAAUCUCAAAUGCAUAAACUUUAUUUAUUUGUAAAUAGGAGAACAAAACACAACUUUCUCUCAUGAUUUAUAUUCAUUCCACAUGUAUAAUGCUCUCCUAUCAUGGUAAACUGAUACAAAAUAAAAAUAGAUAUAAAACGAAGGGAUUAAACCCAUAAGUACGUAGGCAAAGUCAAGCAUGGUAACUAAUUGCUAAAUAGCACCACUUAUUUAAUAAAAUAUAUAUUAAUAUGCUUUGUUGGACGCAUGAUUUAGAUAUGAAUUUUAUCUGCUGGAAUUUUUCUAUGAUAUGGUGGCUUAGAAUCAGUUGGUAGUUUGUAAGGACGGGGUGAAGAUGCAUAAAGUGGAUCAAUUUUAUUAUCAGUUGGUGAUGGAUGAGGAGGAGUAAAAUGAUGAAAAAUAUGAUGAAGAUGAGGAGGAAGAUGAUGAAAUAUAGGUGGAAAAGAAACAGAAAGUCCAUGAGGAACAAGGAUAAGGGAAGCAAGGAACAACACUUGUAAGGAUUGAUAAAAGGAGGCCAUAUUUGAAGUUGUGAUUUGUGUGUGCAUAACAUAUAUGGGAUAACCAAGUUUUAUACUAAUCAAGUGCAUAACACUCUUAGGUCUCCAUUGGAUUUUUCUGUGUUGAUUAUUCAAAAAUGUACCACUAUUAUGGCCCAUCGGAUUGUUACAAGUUAUCACUCUAACCAUAAAUGACGACAUGGUUUUAAAACUGUAUAAUUGCUACGGAAGUUAAUUGACUAGCUUAUUAUUUGUGUCCAUUACUUUCUAUUCCAUCGUUUGGUAUCAACUCUAUCUUUCUUGUCCCUAUGCCACUCAAAAAUAAUUUCUUUUUCAUAUUUAUAACAAGUAAGUUGUAUACUUUUUUGAUAAGAACACAAAUUCAGAUAAGUCAUGACAAUACAAUAUCAUAAUUUUCAAAAUAGUUUUUAAAUUUGAGAGGGGAAGUGUGAUUUUUUUGUCUCUUUUAAUUUUUAAUUUUUUUAACUCUCCCCACAAAAUGCCAUUGUUUUGACGAGUUAAAAAUAUAUAUAAAAUGAUCAAUUAGUUGAUUCAAAAAAUUCACCGGUUAAAUGGUUGGACCGGUGAACCGGUUGAGUCACACCGAUUUUCACCAACUAGGGUCCUAUGAAUUUACCGAACUACUUUAUCCUUUGGUUCUCGAUCUAACAUGUUGUUACAUUUGAUAUGAGUCAUUUUAAUAGGCCGCAUUUAAAGCAAGAUGUUAUGACAUUGUUUGAGACAUUUUGUCUCUAUGAGAUCAAAUCAGGAGGCAACAUGUGUAACAUGUGUAGCAAGAUGUUCCACAGAUUGUGAGACAUUCUGCCUCAUCCAGAAGUCAAUCAUCAUAAAGUAAAUCUCGUGCCUUAUGAAUGUUUGUUUCCAUUCUUGUUCAAUCUUGCUUAUUUGUUUCAUGUACUUUUUGGAAUAUGGAAUUUUUCCCAAAAGAUCAAUUUCCAGGAAUUAAAAAGAAAAAAUAUGAUUGUUGAAGAUUUAUCAAAUCAAAGAUUACAAAUCAACUUAAUGAAGAAUAGAUUCUUACAGUUAUGGAUUUGCUUCAGCCACACGAAAUGAUAUUGUCGUAUCUCAAAAAAUGUGAUCCUUCCCGAUGGUCGCGGAAAAAAAAUGAUUUGAACAGAGUCGUCACCGAACUUUAUUUAUUCCAUUGAAGGAAAUGUAAAAUAUCGAUAAAACCCUUAAAAACAGAAAAUGGUCGUCGCAACCAAAUUCAGGUCCGGGAGACGAUUACACAAGGGGAAGAUAUUAGCACCCCUCAUGUCUGUUAUACUCAACGAGAACCUUUUAGUUAAACUUGCGAUUGAAUGUUAGCUAAUUUUAAUUGUUUUCUUCUAAUGGUAAAAAGUUUUAAAAGAAAAAGAAACGAAACCGCAAAAAGUUUUUUCCUAAUGGGUCUCACAAGAUUGCGGGUCUUGCUUCUACGUAUCUCUAGGUGCGAUGGGGAGCUCAAUUCUAUGUAGGUCUGGGUAACACAGAAGAUAUUUUUGGUAUUUUUUGGUUAUAGUGCUUGAUGAGACGAUGAAUCUCGCUCCUACGUAUCUCUAGGUGCGUUGAGAACUCAAAGCUACGUAGUUCUUUGUAGAAAAUGAGUUUUGCUUGAUUGAUUUUAAUGAACAAGUGUUUAGGUCGCAUUCUGACGGUUAAACAUUGGCUUGCUUGCUCGUGGGGGAGGAUUUACACUACUAGAAAAUUCGCUUAUAGUGACUGAUUUAGUGACUAAAAAAUUUCGGUAACUUUAGCCACUGAAUUAGCCACCAAACUUUGACAUCAUGUUAGUAAAAAUUUUUAAGUCGCUAAAUCGAUCACCAAAUAAAAUUAGCCAACGAAUUAUUGACUGAAAUUUUGUGACCAUAAUAUUCAAUGAUCGAAAUUUCGGUCACUAAUAAUUUUGGUGGUUUUCUUUUUUAGUUACUAUUUAUCUCCCAAUUCUCUCAAUUUUUAAAUAUUUUAUGUUUAUCCUAAUUUUUAGGCUUUAGUCAAACUUUCAAUUUUUGUUCUUAUAACAUAUAAACAUAUAUUUUAUAUAAAAAAAUUGAUGAACAAAAUUUAUUAAUUUAAUAAGAAAAUGUAAUUUAAAUGACAUUAUAAUAAUUUAAAUAUAUUCUAAUAAUAUAGACGAGUUUAAAUAUGAAAUUGACAAUUGUUGUGAUGUGUCCCAUGUAGCAUGGUAUUCUAUAACCCAAGGGUGUGAGUUUGAUACUUGCAUGAGACAAUUAUUUUUAUUUAACUUUUAAUUUCUUUAACACACUAAAAUGGUUGUUUAAAUCGGUUCACUAUAUUUUCGAUCACUGAAAAUGGUGUUAUAAUGAUUGAUUUUUAAGCUAUUUCGGUCUCUAAUUCAGUCACUAAAUACCAAAUUUUUAGUAGUGUAAGCUCUAGUUUGUAUUCGCAUUAGAAGGGACUAAACAAUGUUCUUUCUAAAAAGGAUUUCAAUCACACAAGGGCGAGAAAAGAUUGGUUUGAUUGGUUUCGACCGCACAGAGGCGAGUAAAGAUAGGUUUGAUGUGUUGAAUAUUUUUUAGAAGGGGACGAAGAAUGUUCGAGGAAUAUGGAGCGCCCCAAUUAUUUGAUUAUUCGAGGGAUAGUGAGGCGAGCGCCCCUAUUCCUAUUUCGUCCAAUUUGAUAUUUGAAUUUUUUUUUACGGAAGUCGAAUAUUCGCGGUAGUGAGGCGAGCGCCUCCCACUUGCUUAUUCGAGGAAUAAUGAGGUGUGUGUCACCUAUUCCUUUAUCCAAUUGUGAUGGGGCGCGUAGCUUUUAUUGGAAAGAGAGGAUUCCUAGUCACGUGAAAAUGGAUAGCAUAUCCUUCAACUUUUGCUUCCAUCAUUUUCUUUUCUUUUACUUAUACUUUUAUUCUUUUGAAUUUUUUGAUUGGUGGAUAUAAAAACACAUGGAUAGCCAAGUUUGGACCAUUGAUCAAAAUCAAUUUAACAACUAGGAUUAAAAUAAAGAAACACAAAUUAUCAAUCAAUUUAAAAUGACUAACUUGUCCCUUCUAGAUUCUUAAUGAGAUUAGAAUGAAAUUAAUUCAAUUAAGAUAAACAAAAUUCACACACUUUAAAAUAAACGUUAUAAAGUAAAAAUAAAAGGACUUUAAAUGAAUAAAAAAUGCGCUUAAAAAUGCUCGAAAAAUUAAAAUGAAUGCACUAAAAUGACCAGUACAAAAUAAACUUCUGGAAAAUUGACAGGUUUUGUUGUCAAACUUUUAGUAAAAAACGACCUGUCCCGCGGUGGAAAGCGUCCCAGGCUGAUUAAAAUACCAUCGCAAAAGAAGCAGAACAAUUAAACGAGCACGCCAGGUUAAACUACGCAAAUCGUAGAUCAAUAAAACUGACGUCUGUAAGCCCGACCUUUAAAUUUUAUGCCCGCUAAUUUUACGUAUAUUUGAAAAUUGAUUCAACUGGUCUUUCUGUAUAUCUGAAAAUUUAUUCUGGCAAAUAUUUUAGGAAUUAUGCAUGAUGAAAGACAUGUUAUCUUAUGUAGAUGAUGCAAAGUGAAGAAAAGUCGGAUAUAUGAAAGUUUUAAAAUUCUCAGAGAAAAUUGAGGUAUGACAGAUACAUACCCUAAUAGGCUAGCAACUAGAUUUUGUUUCUAUUUAAGAAGGAUCCCUCUAUGUAAAGACUUAAAACUUGAGAAACAAGCAAGACGUGUUUUAGCUGUGCGGUUCCUUUUGUUUUGGUUUUAUGUUUUGUAUUGUUAAACUCUAUUCACUAGUCACAUUCCAAUAUAGAAGAAUAGAGUUUAUUUUGAGUUGUAAUUAAUUUCAUCAUUCAUAAAAUAUUGUAAUUGUUCAAACACUUGGGAGAGUGCUUGAGAAAAAGUGAGAGGGGUUUUGCAUUCAGGUGCUGAAUAAGAUUUCAUGGCUAGUACUUAAGAACAAGAGGUGUUUGCAAACUAUAAGGCGGUCAACCUAUACCAUUUGUACGUUUACUAUUAAGAGUGGAUUUUCUCUCUUAGGUUAACGCCCUCUAGACGUAUGUGACUUUGCACUGAAGUGCAUUAAUAAUUCCUCGUGUCCAUUUACUUGCAUUCUUAUUUUAUUUGUUAUUGCAUUAAUCUUAUCAUACACAUUGUCCCAGACAUUGUGUCUUCCAUAUUUCCAUUAGACGAACAAAACAUCAAUUGGCAUCAGAGCAAGCACCCUAUUCUGGUGAAGUGAGCUCUAGGGAUAUACACAUUUUCUUCAAAAUUGACAAUGCUAAGGAAGAAGGAUUUGUGAAUCGUCCACCUAUCUUAUAUGGAACGAAAUAUGAUUAUUGGAAAUCCUGCAUGGUUUCCUUUCUCAAAUAUAGUGAUAACAAAACAUGGAAGGAAGUAAUCCAAGGAUGGACACCCCCAAAUGGUUACUACACAAGAUGGAACAAAACCCAUGAAGCCAAAGAAGAUUAUUCUAAAGAAGAAGGUGAAGAAUGAAAUGGUAAUUUUUGAGCUCUCAACGCCAUAUUCAAUAGAGUUGACAAAAA
rnacentral:lncRNA from 1 species